rnacentral:tRNA from 1 species
UUGAUAGAAACCAAAUAGAGGUGUAUCACUGUUAAUGAUAAAAUUGAACUUUAAUUCCUAUCAAG